CCUACGGGAGGCAGCAGUCGAGAAUCUUUCACAAUGGGCGCAAGCCUGAUGCUGCGACGCCGCGUGGGGGAAUGCGGCUCUUUGGAUUGUAAACUCCUGUCAUGCGGGAGCAAACGAAAAAGAUAGUACCACAAGGGGAAGAGACGGCUAACUCUGUGCCAGCAGCCGCGGUAAUACAGAGGUCUCAAGCGUUGUUCGGAAUUACUGGGCGUAAAGCGUGCGUAGGCUGUUUGGUAAGUCGUGUGUGAAAGGCGCGGGCUCAACCCGCGGACGGCACAUGAUACUGCGAGACUAGAGUAAUGGAGGGGGAACCGGAAUGCUUGGUGUAGCAGUGAAAUGCGUAGAUAUCGAGAGGAACACUCGUGGCGAAGGCGGGUUCCUGGACAUUAACUGACGCUGAGGCACGAAGGCCAGGGGAGCGAAAGGGAUUAGAUACCCGUGUAGUC
rnacentral:rRNA from 1 species